rnacentral:rRNA from 1 species
UACGGGGGGGGCAAGCGUUGUUCGGAAUUACUGGGCGUAAAGGGCUCGUAGGCGGCCAACUAAGUCAGACGUGAAAUCCCUCGGCUUAACCGGGGAACUGCGUCUGAUACUGGAUGGCUUGAAUCCGGGAGAGGGAUGUGGAAUUCCAGGUGUAGCGGUGAAAUGCGUAGAUAUCAGGAGGAACACCGGUGGCGAAGGCGGCUUUCUGGACAGAUACCGACGCUGAGGCACGAAAGCUAGGGGAGCAAACAGG